CUACAUGCGAGUGCUCAGUGGGCCACUUUUGGUAAGCAGAACUGGCGCUGCGGGAUGAACCGAACGCCGGGUUAAGGCGCCCGAUGCCGACGCUCAUCAGAGCCCAGAAAAGGUGUUGGUUGAUCUAGACAGCAGGGCGGUGGCCAUGGAAGUCGGAAUCCACUCAGGAGUGUGUAACAACUCACCUGCUGAAUCAACCAGCCCUGAAAAUGGAUGGCGCUGGAGCAUCGGGCCCAUACCCAUUCGUCGUCGGCAGUGCGAGGCCCGCGGGGGCUACGCUGCAACUUGUAGGAGGGCCACUGUGGUGCUCCUCGAAGCCUGGGGCGCGAGCCUGGGUGGAGCCGCCGCAGGUGCGGAUCUUGGUGGUAGUAGCAAAUAUUCAAACG
rnacentral:ncRNA from 1 species